rnacentral:lncRNA from 13 species
AUCAUGGACAGGAAAGCAGAGAUCAGCAGUGGAAUCAAUCUUUUUAAACCUUGUGCUCUGAUUUCACCCCUCCUUACCCAAGUGGGGAAGUCGAGUCUUGCUGUUCCUGUGUGCCCACAACUGAGGAGCACUGCCUCCAUAAGUGACCCUACUGAAGCUCCAGUAGGAAAGAAUACACCUCACCCAUAACAAGGAAUAUAGAAGAAGCUUCAGACUGGGGCCAAACAUUCCGUUCAUAAGUUUCAUGUCCUUCUGAAAGGUAAGAAAAAUGGGGGGGAAUCUUUGUCCUCUUUGUACUUUCAUGUGGUACAGGAAGACCAUAGGGAGGUGGUGGAGUCAGCGUCCCUGGAAGUGUUUAAGAAAAGCCUGGAUGUGGCACUCAGUUGACAAGGUGG